UUCCACCACCCACAUAGUCUUCCCCUCAGGGCUAAACAGUGGCAGCCUGCCAGACAAAAGUCUGCCUUUUGUGAACCGUGUGCAAACAACAGCCCCGCCCGGUGCCUGAGAGCGGAUCCAUGUUUUCAAGGCCUUGUGCAGGCCAGGCUCCUUUUUGAUAUGCUGUCUCAAGAGGUUCUGCUUAUUGGGAGCCCUGCAAGGUGACACGAUAUGUCCAGUGUGAGGAAGCAGGUCGUGUCAGCAUAGUGUCCCAAUGGGUGGCAAGCCUUGCCAAGAGAUUUUGGAAACCACCACUACAAAAGAGUGUGCUGAUUCUGGACUGCUGCAUGCCACACCCUCUAACCAACCUGCCAAGCCCUGCAAGCCAGUUUUAGCUGGGACUGCAGGUACUUCUCAGCCUGACCCUAAUGCUCCUGGGUUGUGACGUCUCUCUGGACAUUGGAUAUGAACAGGAAAGCAACAGAGAUCUGUCUCUUACUUGUGUGUUCCACUUUCUGAACAAGUAUCCUAGCAGCUGCCAAAGGGGCAUUUUAAGUGGGGUGUGAAUAUAAGCAGGGUGGUGGUGGGUGUGUGUGUUCCAUAUGAAAGCCUGAUUCACAUAUGUGUGUACUUGAGUUCCUAAAGCUGGGUUAUUCAAUGCUUUUGACUCACAGCUGGAUGCGUGAAUGGAAUUGCAUUUAAAUGUGUCCAGAGGGGUAACUGUGUUUGUCUGUUGCAGCAAAAACAAUGAAGAGUCUUCUAGAACCUCAAAGACUAAUCAUUGUAUCUUGCCAUUAGUCUUUGUGAACUAAAGCUCACUUCAAAAUGUUG